UACGUAGGGACCGAGCGUUGUCCGGAAUCAUUGGGCGUAAAGAGCGUGUAGGCGGCUAUUUAAGUCCUGCGUGAAAUCCUGCGGCUCAACCGCAGACGGUCGUGGGAAACUGGAUGGCUAGAGUGCGGGAGAGGAGAGUGGAAUUCCCGGUGUAGCGGUGAAAUGCGCAGAUAUCGGGAAGAACACCCGUGGCGAAGGCGGCUCUCUGGAACGCAACUGGACGCUGAGACGCGAAAGCGUGGGGAGCAAACAGGG
rnacentral:rRNA from 1 species